UCCAGAAAAAGAAAUGGGAACAACCAGUUAGCAUUCUUCAUGCCACUAAGGAAUCUUCCUUCCAAAUUAUGUGGAAGUGAGAAGUCAGCAUCUGCAAGCCAGGAAGAGAUCUCUCACCAGGAACCCAAUCGGCCCACAUCUUGAUUUUGGACUUCAGAGCCUUCAGAAACGUGAGAAAAUAAAUUUCUGUUGUUUAAG